rnacentral:lncRNA from 1 species
UUGGCCCUUGAAUAACAUGAAUUUGAACUGCCUGAGUCUGCUAAUAUGUGGAUUAUCUUCUGCUUCUGCACCCUGAGACAGCAAGACCAACCCUUCCUCUUGCUUCUUUUCCUUAGCCUAUUCAACGUGAAGAUGACUAAGGUUUCCCAGGAUGUACAGAGAAGUCCAGCCUCACCGUAGCACCUGAGCAGUGGGUGGGAAAUAGCUGAGGGACACAUCUCAAUCGAUGAACCAGCACUCCUGAUUCUCUGCAGCCUGCAAACUUCGGGUAAGAGGGGUA